rnacentral:rRNA from 1 species
UAGGGAGCAAGCGUUGUCCGGAAUUACUGGGUGUAAAGGGAGCGUAGGCGGGGAUGCAAGUUGGGUGUCAAAACUAUCGGCUCAACUGAUAGUCGCACUCAAAACUGCAGCUCUUGAGUGAAGUAGAGGCAGGCGGAAUUCCUAGUGUAGCGGUGAAAUGCGUAGAUAUUAGGAGGAACACCAGUGGCGAAGGCGGCCUGCUGGGCUUUUACUGACGCUGAGGCUCGAAAGUGUGGGGAGCAAA